AACGAACGCUGGCGGCAUGCCUAACACAUGCAAGUCGAACGAGACCUUCGGGUCUAGUGGCGCACGGGUGCGUAACGCGUGGGAACCUGCCCUUAGGUUCGGAAUAACUCCCCGAAAGGGGUGCUAUACCGGAUUAUUUCUUUGGACCAAAGGUUUAUCGCCUUUGGAUGGGCCCGCGUUGGAUUAGCUAGUUGGUAGGGUAAAAGCCUACCAAGGCGACGAUCCAUAGCUGGUCUGAGAGGAUGAUCAGCCACACUGGGACUGAGACACGGCCCAGACUCCUACGGGAGGCAGCAGUGGGGAAUAUUGGACAAUGGGCGAAAGCCUGAUCCAGCAAUGCCGCGUGAGUGAUGAAGGCCUUAGGGUUGUAAAGCUCUUUUACCCGGGAUGAUAAUGACAGUACCGGGAGAAUAAGCUCCGGCUAACUCCGUG
rnacentral:rRNA from 1 species